rnacentral:rRNA from 1 species
CCUACGGGGGACUGCAGUGAGGAAUAUUGGUCAAUGGACGAGAGUCUGAACCAGCCAAGUAGCGUGAAGGAUGACUGCCCUAUGGGUUGUAAACUUCUUUUAUAUGGGAAUAAAAUGUUCCACGUGUGGGCUUUUGUAUGUACCAUAUGAAUAAGGAUCGACUAACUCCGUGCCAGCAGCCGCGGUAAUACGGAGGAUCCGAGCGUUAUCCGGAUUUAUUGGGUUUAAAGGGAGCGUAGGUGGAUUUUUAAGUCAGUUGUGAAAGUUUGCGGCUCAACCGUAAAAUUGCAUUUGAAACUGGCAGUCUUGAGUACAGUAGAGGUGGGCGGAAUUCGUGGUGUAGCGGUGAAAUGCUUAGAUAUCACGAAGAACUCCGAUUGCGAAGGCAGCUCACUGGACUGCAACUGACACUGAGGCUCGAAAGUGUGGGUAUCAAACAGGAUUAGAUACCCUUGUAGUC